rnacentral:tRNA from 1 species
AGGAUAAUAGUUAAUAAUAAUAUUUAAUUUGCAAUUAAAAGGCAUUGAUUUAUUCAAUUUAUCUUA